AAUGCCUGUGUACAAUUGAUGUCGGACCUGGCUGCUGGAAGAAAUAGGAUAUGUGUCGUAACAACCCUCUUCCCAACCAAGGUUUUGACUUGCAGGCUACAGGUGUUAGAGACUGGCAAGUCGACUCCGGGCGUCAUGGAACGGUGUGGUUCCGGUUCCGGAGCCAAUCACAGUAACUGUCGGUAACCGAACCACGCAAUAAAAACAGGAGUUCCUCAUGGAAAUUUCGCGUGUCCGACGCAAGCUGUGCCGAGAAAUUAGCCGAGAGGAUUUCUACCAGACAUUAACUUUGUUAGCAGAUUUCCAGUGCAAAACAAGAGAGCAUAACUGGAUCGUGCGGCCCUCUACUGCGGGUAGAUGCAGCUGCUGCUGAUGAUGAUGGUGAUAAUGCAGGCGCUUCUAAGGGUUUGGAUGGAAGCGCACCAUCCCCGCAGCCUCCCUGCCAAUGAUGGACAUUAAACGCCGCACGGCUGAUGGCCCUAUUAGCUAUAUUACUGCCGGACUAACCCCUAAUGAACCCCUCCUGCAGCGCCGGGUGCCCUAACAACUCCGCCACAUAAUCCGCAACCUCUUGCAGCCUGCUGAUGGCAGUGAGGCCCGCCACAGCG
rnacentral:lncRNA from 1 species